UACAGAGGUCCCAAGCGUUGUUCGGAUUCACUGGGCGUAAAGGGUGCGUAGGUGGUCGGGUAAGUCUGAUGUGAAAUCUCCGAGCUUAACUCGGAAAUGGCAUUGGAUACUAUUCGGCUAGAGGGUUUGAGGGGGGACUGGAAUACUUGGUGUAGCAGUGAAAUGCGUAGAUAUCAAGUGGAACACCAGUGGCGAAGGCGGGAUCCUGGGCCAGUACUGACGCUGAGGAGCGAAAGCGUGGGGAGCAAACAGG
rnacentral:rRNA from 1 species